rnacentral:rRNA from 1 species
UCCUACGGGGGCAGCAGUCGAGAAUCAUUCACAAUGGGGGAAACCCUGAUGGUGCGACGCCGCGUGGGGGAAUGAAGGUCUUCGGAUUGUAAACCCCUGUCAUGUGGGAGCAAAUUAAAAAGAUAGUACCACAAGAGGAAGAGACGGCUAACUCUGUGUCAGCAGCCGCGGUAAUACAGAGGUCUCAAGCGUUGUUCGGAAUCACUGGGCGUAAAGCGUGCGUAGGCUGUUUCGUAAGUCGUGUGUGAAAGGCGCGGGCUCAACCCGCGGACGGCACAUGAUACUGCGAGACUAGAGUAAUGGAG